GAUGAACGCUGGCGGCGUGCCUAAUACAUGCAAGUCGAGCGAACGGACGAGAAGCUUGCUUCUCUGAUGUUAGCGGCGGACGGGUGAGUAACACGUGGAUAACCUACCUAUAAGACUGGGAUAACUUCGGGAAACCGGAGCUAAUACCGGAUGAUAUUUUGAACCGCAUGGUUCAAAAGUGAAAGACGGUCUUGCUGUCACUUAUAGAUGGAUCCGCGCUGCAUUAGCUAGUUGGUAAGGUAACGGCUUACCAAGGCAACGAUGCAUAGCCGACCUGAGAGGGUGAUCGGCCACCCUGGAACUGGGACACGGUCCAGACUCCUACGGGAGGCAGCAGUAGGGAAUCUUCCGCAAUGGGCGAAAGCCUGACGGAGCAACGCCGCGUGAGUGAUGACGGUCUUCGGAUCGUAAAACUCUGUUAUUAGGGAAGAACAUAUGUGUAAGUAACUGUGCACAUCUUGACGGUACCUAAUCAGAAAGCCACGGCUAACUACGUG
rnacentral:rRNA from 1 species